GAUGAACGCUGACAGAAUGCUUAACACAUGCAAGUCGAUGGGGAGGUGGUGCUUGCACCAUGGUAACCAUGGCGGACGGGUGAGUAACGCGUAAGGAACUUGCCUGCGGGACUGGGAUAACAGCAGGAAACUGCUGAUAAUACCGGAUAAGGUCAUUAAGCUGCAUAGCUUAGUGAUGAAAGGAGACGCCUGCGGAGAGCUUUGCGUCCCAUUAGCUAGUUGGAGAGGUAACGGCUCACCAAGGCUUUGACGGGUAGCCGGCCUGAGAGGGUGACCGGUCACAUUGGGACUGAGAUACGGCCCAGACUCCUACGGGAGGCAGCAGUGGGGAAUAUUGCACAAUGGGCGCAAGCCUGAUGCAGCGACGCCGCGUGAGGGAUGGAGGCCUUCGGGUUGUAAACCUCUUUCGCUCAUGGUCAAGCCGCAACAGUGGUUGUGGUGAGGGUAGUGGGUAAAGAAGCGCCGGCUAACUACGUGCCAGCAGCCGCGGUAAUACGUAGGGCGCGAGCGUUGUCCGGAAUUAUUGGGCGUAAAGGGCUUGUAGGCGGUUGGUCGCGUCUGCCGUGAAAUCCUCUGGCUUAACUGGGGGCGUGCGGUGGGUACGGGCUGACUUGAGUGCGGUAGGGGAGACUGGAACUCCUGGUGUAGCGGUGGAAUGCGCAGAUAUCAGGAAGAACACCGGUGGCGAAGGCGGGUCUCUGGGCCGUUACUGACGCUGAGGAGCGAAAGCGUGGGGAGCGAACAGG
rnacentral:rRNA from 1 species